rnacentral:rRNA from 1 species
CUACGGGUGGCACCAGUGAGGAAUAUUGCACAAUGGGGGGAGCCCUGAUGCAGCAACGCCGCGUGGAGGAUGACGCAUUUCGGUGUGUAAACUCCUUUUAUAUGUCAAGAAAAUGACGGUAGCAUAUGAAUAAGCACCGGCUAACUCCGUGCCAGCAGCCGCGGUAAUACGGAGGGUGCAAGCGUUACUCGGAAUCACUGGGCGUAAAGGACGCGUAGGCGGGUUGGAAAGUCAGGUGUGAAAUCCUAUAGCUUAACUGUAGAACUGCACUUGAAACUUCUAAUCUAGAGUAUGGGAGGGGGAGAUGGAAUUAGUGGUGUAGGGGUAAAAUCCGUAGAUAUCACUAGGAAUACCUAAAGCGAAGGCGAUCUCCUGGAACAUUACUGACGCUAAGGCGUGAAAGCGUGGGGAGCAAACAGGAUUAGAUACCCUCGUAGUC